rnacentral:rRNA from 1 species
CCGGUCUGAACUCAGAUCAAGUAGGAAUUUAAAAGUUGAACAAACUUCUUUUUUUAACUUCUUCAUUAAAAAAGAAUCCUAAUCCAACAUCGAGGUCGCAAACUAUUUUGUCUAUAUGAACUAUUAAAAAUUAUUACGCUGUUAUCCCUAGAGUAUUUUUUCAUUUUACCAUUAAUAAUGGUUCAUUUAUUUUUUAAAUAAAAAGUUAUUAAUAUUUUCCAAUCGCCCCAAUUAAAAAUUUAAAUUUAUAUAAUAAAUAAAUUUAAAUUUAUUAAAUUCUUAGGGUCUUCUUGUCAAUAAUUUUUAUUAUUGCUUCUUCACAAAUAAAAUUAACUUCAAUUUUUAAGAUUAAUAAAGAUAUUUUUUGUANUUCCAUUCUUUUAGCAUUCAAUUAAAAUCUUAUUACAAUACCUUUGUAUAGUCAAAAUACCACAGCAAUUUAAAAAAUCAUUGAGCAG